CACAUUCUGCUAUAAAUAUCAUGCUUUCUGUUCACAAUCUUAACAAAAAUUAAUUCAUUUCUCUCUCUCUCUCUCUCACACACACACACAAGUUCUUGAAACUAUGAGAGAGAAUCACCCUCAAUACCACCUGCACUGCUUAACCAAAAGUAGAGGGACAAAGAAGAAGAAGAAACGAGUGUAUACUGUGAGUUUGUAUGUAAUAGAGCUUGGUGGAACAUUCAUUUGAGCAAGAUGUCUUGGACGGCUGACAUGAAGAGGGGAUGAGGGUUUUCAGUAUUUGUGCUGCCUCGACCUCGGACCUUCAUGUUUUAUUAAUCUAUAUACAGAUUAAAAUAACAACGAAGAAUUAUUUUCAGUUUUUUAUCAUAUAAAUUUAUGAUGAAUGUAUCACCUUAAUGAAUAAAUGGUACACUUGAGUUUUCAUGAAGGAAGCAAAAAAUUCAUUUU